rnacentral:snoRNA from 1 species
CUGCACAGCGAACACCCAGGGGGCGCCAUCGUGGCACUCCCUGGUCUCCUGAGUCUGUGCUAUAGUGACUCUGAUCUUUUCCUCUGCAUUAGGAGAGUUUUGGUCUCUUCUACAUGUAUUCAGCUGAUCAGCACAACC